AACCCAUGGUGAGGGCACUUUCUCAUUAAGUCCUUAUAUCUUUCCCGUGCAUCGUAAAGUGUUUCUAAAUCCAUCUGCACAAAAGGAGAGAUAUCAUUAUGUAAUU
rnacentral:snoRNA from 1 species